rnacentral:rRNA from 1 species
GAUGAACGCUGGCGGCGUGCCUAAUACAUGCAAGUCGAGCGAACAGACGAGGAGCUUGCUCCUCUGACGUUAGCGGCGGACGGGUGAGUAACACGUGGAUAACCUACCUAUAAGACUGGGAUAACUUCGGGAAACCGGAGCUAAUACCGGAUAAUAUAUUGAACCGCAUGGUUCAAUAGUGAAAGACGGUUUUGCUGUCACUUAUAGAUGGAUCCGCGCCUCAUUAGCGAGUUGGUAAGGUAACGGCUUACCAAGGCAACGAUGCGUAGCCGACCUGAGAGGGUGAUCGGCCACACUGGAACUGAGACACGGUCCAGACUCCUACGGGAGGCAGCAGUAGGGAAUCUUCCGCAAUGGGCGAAAGCUUGACGGAGCAACGCCGCGUGAGUGAUGAAGGUCUUCGGAUCGUAAAACUCUGUUAUUAGGGAAGAACAAAUGUGUAAGUAACUAUGCACGUCUUGACGGUACCUAAUCAGAAAGCCACGGCUAACUACGUG